GUUAUGAUGUGCAAUUUGACUGCUAUGGGAUUUUUGUUCUCUGUGUCAAGUUUUAUAUGUGUUGUUCAGUUUCACACAUGCAUGUGUGCAUGGCAUAACCAUGCCCAGUACUGUAGUCAAUAUGAAAUCUGCGGAAUUGCAAGUUUCAAAUUUUGAAAAAUGUCAGAAUGUUUUCAAUACUUGUAUAAUAACAUGUCAUGUGGAUUUGGAUGUGUUUGGGAGCAAGGUUUUCCUUGUGAUCAUUGUUGAAAUUUGUGAAGGAUUUUUGAUCCGGUAUUGAUUGAUAUUGUUU
rnacentral:misc_RNA from 1 species